rnacentral:tRNA from 1 species
GGCGCCGUGGGAGAACGGCUAUCCAGCGGACUGCAACUCCGUGUAUGCCGGUUCGAGUCCGGCUGGCGCCUCCA